rnacentral:rRNA from 1 species
AUUGACCGCUGGCGGCGUGCCUAACACAUGCAAGUCGAGCGAUGAAGGGGAGCUUGCUCCCUGGAAUAGCGGCGCACGGGUGAGUAACGCGUGGAUAAUCUACCCAGGAGUUCGGGAUACCAGCUGGAAACGGCUGACAAUACCGCGUAACAUGCACUUUAACUCUUGUGUCAAAGGAGGGGCAACCUGUCGCUUUUGGAUGAGUUCGCGUCUCAUUAGCUAGUUGGUAAGGUAAUGGCUUACCAAGGGAGUGAUGAGUAGCCGGCCUGAGAGGGUAAUCGGCCACACUGGGACUGGAACACGGCCCAGACUCCUACGGGAGGCAGCAGUGGGGAAUAUUGCGCAAUGGACGAAAGUCUGACGCAGCGACGCCGCGUGAGGGAUGAAGGCCUUCGGCUUGUAAACCUCUGUCAGGUGGGAAGAACCGCCAUGGUAGUAACUGCCCAUGGUCUGACGGUACCACCAAAGGAAGCACCGGCUAACUCCGUGCCAGCCGCCGCCGUAAGAC